rnacentral:rRNA from 1 species
CGCGCCCUACGGGGCGCAGCAGUGAGGAAUAUUGGUCAAUGGCCGAGAGGCUGAACCAGCCACGUCGCGUGAGGGAUGACGGCCCUACGGGUUGUAAACCCCUUUUGUCGGGGAGCAGGACCCGCCACGAGUGGCGGAGCGAGAGUACCCGAAGAAAAAGCAUCGGCUAACUCCGUGCCAGCAGCCGCGGUAAUACGGAGGAUGCGAGCGUUAUCCGGAUUUAUUGGGUUUAAAGGGUGCGCAGGCGGACCAUCGAGUCAGCGGUA